UACGUAGGGGGCAAGCGUUAUCCGGAUUUACUGGGUGUAAAGGGGGCGCAGACGGCAAUGCAAGCCAGGAGUGAAAGCCCGGGGCCCAACCCCGGGACUGCUCUUGGAACUGCAUGGCUGGAGUACAGGAGGGGCAGGCGGAAUUCCUAGUGUAGCGGUGAAAUGCGUAGAUAUUAGGAGGAACACCAGUGGCGAAGGCGGCUUACUGGACUGUAACUGACGUUGAGGCUCGAAAGCGUGGGGAGCAAACAGG
rnacentral:rRNA from 1 species